rnacentral:rRNA from 1 species
GAUCCUGGCUCAGGAUGAACGCUAGCGGCAGGCUUAACACAUGCAAGUCGAGGGGUAUAGUUCUUCGGAACUAGAGACCGGCGCACGGGUGCGUAACGCGUAUGCAAUCUACCUUUUACAGAGGGAUAGCCCAGAGAAAUUUGGAUUAAUACCUCAUAGUAUGUGAGAAUCGCAUGGUUUUCACAUUAAAGUUCCAACGGUAUAAGAUGAGCAUGCGUCCCAUUAGUUAGUUGGUAAGGUAACGGCUUACCAAGACAAUGAUGGGUAGGGGUCCUGAGAGGGAGAUCCCCCACACUGGUACUGAGACACGGCCCAGACUCCUACGGGAGGCAGCAGUGGGGAAUUUUGGACAAUGGACGCAAGUCUGAUCCAGCCAUUCCGCGUGCAGGAUGAAGGCCCUCGGGUUGUAAACUGCUUUUGUACGGAACGAAAAGGUUUCCAUUAAUACUGGGAGCUCAUGACGGUACCGUAAGAAUAAGCACCGGCUAACUACGUG